rnacentral:lncRNA from 1 species
CACCAGCUGUGCACCUCACAGGUGUUCACUACCUCAUUCCGUCCUCCCAAGAGGCCCUGUCAGGCCCUUCCAAUGAGAAGUCUGAGAACCAGAGAUUGGAUGACUCACUCAGGUACAUAUGCUACUAUAAGAAGCAAAACUUUACCUCCAUAAGAACCAAGAGGAGCAGGAAUAGAGCUAUGCCUCUUCCCUUGGGAGACUUCCCUUAAGAAAUCAC